AUUGAACGCUGGCGGCAGGCCUAACACAUGCAAGUCGGGCGGAUGAAGGGAGCUUGCUCCUGGAUUCAGCGGCGGACGGGUGAGUAAUGCCUAGGAAUCUGCCUGGUAGUGGGGGAUAACGUCCGGAAACGGGCGCUAAUACCGCAUACGUCCUGAGGGAGAAAGUGGGGGAUCUUCGGACCUCACGCUAUCAGAUGAGCCUAGGUCGGAUUAGCUAGUUGGUGGGGUAAAGGCCUACCAAGGCGACGAUCCGUAACUGGUCUGAGAGGAUGAUCAGUCACACUGGAACUGAGACACGGUCCAGACUCCUACGGGAGGCAACAGUGGGGAAUAUUGGACAAUGGGCGAAAGCCUGAUCCAGCCAUGCCGCGUGUGUGAAGAAGGUCUUCGGAUUGUAAAGCACUUUAAGUUGGGAGGAAGGGCAGUAAGUUAAUACCUUGCUGUUUUGACGUUACCAACAGAAUAAGCACCGGCUAACUUCGUG
rnacentral:rRNA from 1 species